AAUGAACGCUGGCGGCGCGCCUAAUACAUGCAAGUCGAGCGAGAAGACGUAGCAAUACGUUUGUAAAGCGGCGAACGGGUGAGGAAUACAUGGGUAACCUACCCUCGAGUGGGGAAGUAACUAGCCGAAGGUUAGCUAAUACCGCGUACGCUCCUUGGACUUCGGUUCAGGGAGGGAAAGCGAUACCGUGGGUAGUCGCGCUCUUGGUUGGGCGUCAUGUCCUAUCAGCUUGUUGGUGAGGAACGGCUCACCAAGGCUUCGACGGGUAGCUGGUCUGAGAGGACGAUCAGCCACACUGGCACUGCGACACGGGCCAGACUCCUACGGGAGGCAGCAGUAAGGAAUAUUGCGCAAUGGGCGAAAGCCUGACGCAGCGA
rnacentral:rRNA from 1 species